rnacentral:rRNA from 1 species
UUCGUAGGCGGUGCGGCAAGUCGGGAGUGAAAUCUCUGGGCUUAACUCAGAGGCUGCUCUCGAAACUGCCGUGCUCGAGUGCGGGAGAGGCGAGUGGAAUUGCAGGUGUAGCGGUGAAAUGCGUAGAUAUCUGCAGGAACACCCGUGGCGAAGGCGGCUCGCUGGACCGCAACUGACGCUGAGGAACGAAAGCUAGGGGAGCAAACAGGAUUAGAUACCCUGGUAGUCCUAGCCCUAAACCAUCAGGACUUGGGGUGGCCCGCGUAGGCGGGUCGUCCCGCAGCUAACGCGUUAAGUCCUGCGCCUGGGGAGUACGGUACGCAAGACUGAA